ensembl:lncRNA
GCAGCUGCUGCUCUUGUCUUACAUUCAUUCCCCCUCCGUUGAAAGUUUGACUCCAUUCGUAUUUGGCCUAGUCUUUACCUCGUUUUUGUCGCCACAAUGUGCUGUGGGUGAGCGCACAGACCGCGUGCAAUUUGUGCACAAAGCCGCCAGCCUGUUGUGAUGCGCCGCGCGGAUUGGUGAGCUCUGCUUGAGCAGCCUUUACAGACCACCUGCAAUGACUCCUGCAAAUGAUUCGAUUUAACAGUGAUGAGAAAUGACUUGGGGCGGGGUUUAAGGUCGUUUUGAGCUCCUCAUCAUACCGGGUUCUACUGUACAUACCAUGAUGGAGAUCUUGGAAGUAUUGCUGUGCCAAAAUACACGAAAAUGGGCCAAAAGUGGAUGCAGACACUUGUUUCACUGUUCUUUUGUCAAGACAAUGAUUUCCACUGCGAAAGAGGGAAACAAGAUGGUGCAACGUUGUCUCUUUGCUAUGAACCAUUCAAUUGAUUAUAUUUGAUACAUUUCAACUGUAACAUCAUUUAUCUAGUUGAAAUAGCCUAGUUCUCGCUCUCUUCCUUUCAUCAACAUACUGGCUUUACGGCAGCUUUGUGAAUAAGAUUCAUGUCAUUACUCUAAUAAAUGGAGAUGUAUUAAGAUGCUCUUCACUUUCUGACUUCCAUGUCCUGGAAAUAUUACCGAAGACACAAGCUCUGCAGUGAAACCCCCAUAAAACUAAUUUAACAUUUUAUGCCUCAAAUUGUUGGACUUACAUGUAUAUUUGGAGGAAAGCAAUAUUUUUGGAACACUUGAAUGAUUAACAUAGUGUAUGUAAAAUGUGAGUGUAACUGCAAAGGCAUGUUAAUGUGAAAUCUCUUGUUACUUUAUAUUACUAAUCUCUUACAAUCUGAAUGAUGAGACAGAAAAUGGUAAAGCUACAUCUUUUUUUAUUCAAAUGUUUUGUUUACAAACACUUGACAUCUAUUGAAAUUCUACUCUACAAGCGUCCAAGGCUGUUGCACUUCGAAAAACAGCCAAUAUCAGAGGAAGCAGUGUUGUAAAACUUAACAAAAUGUACAAACUACAGAGCUGCUUUGCACAAGAUAAAGAUUUUCCUAAUAUUGCAUGUGAAAUCCUUUCUAAAAUAUAUUAAAAGGUAUUCUCUGUCCUGCAACAAAAUAUAUAUUAGGUUCCCUAUACCAAAUUACCCUCUUACCAAUUGUGUAUUCUACUAGUCAUUAAUUGUUUUUGACAUUUUCUUAUUGCCAUUUUAUAGGGCAAAGUACAUUUAGGCUACCCCAUGUUAGCUUCAAAAUGUUUGUUUUUCUGUUGUUGAGGCACAAGCAGUUACAACAGACACUUGAAUACUGAAUACACACAGCAAACCAAUUAUUUUUGACAUUUUUAUUAAAUUAGAAUUCCCAUUUCCAAAAUAUCUCUCAAGUUUUGAGUUUGAGACCUGCACCGAAAUACUGUAUGUAGAAUUCUGUCAUACCAGCUUUUGACUUUUUGAGUAGAAGUGAUAGCUCUUGGGACUGUUUUACAGUAUACAAACAAAGGCAGUUUACAGAGGUAGUGACCACCCAAGUUUACUUGUAAGUGCACUUUCGGAAACCAAUACAUGCUUCUACGAGGCAAAGUACACACAUAUAGACCCUUCUGUAAAGCGAUAUCUAUCAAGAAAGUAAAUAUAUAGUAUUGCAUGAGCUAUCAGAUGAAUCCGUACCAAGCAGAUCACUUCCUGUAAAUCCUUUUACACAUUUCAAUAUUGUAAACUAAGUAUUAUCAUCAAACUAAGCAAGACUAUGCUGUACGCUAGUGUCUUAUGUUGGCUGUCCACAUAAUAGAAAACAUGCUUUUCUGUGUACAGCAAGAUUGCAAAGACAUCACAAUCCUAUAUACCCACUAUACACUGUUCCUAAACCCAGAUCACGCUUACUAUUACCCAGAUCACACUCACUAUUACCCAGAUCACACUCACUAGUACCCAACAUUGUAGCAAUGUUGAAGCAACAUCACUGCAACAUUGGGGCAAUACAGACUGUUAGGGCAACACCUCCAUUUUAUUUUUCUCACAGGAUU